rnacentral:hammerhead_ribozyme from 1 species
AUUCAGCUGAUGAGCCCCGAAUAGGACGAAACGGGCGUCCUAGAU